GAAAAAGGACGCAAUCGUUACUUGUAGAAAUUUGACGAUGAAUAACACUAUCGUCAGCGAAAAGGUCAACGAUAGUGUUAUUCAUCGUCAAAUUUCUACAAGUAACGAUUGCGUCCUUUUUCAAGA